GACGGAGGAUGCAAGCGUUAUCCGGAAUGAUUGGGCGUAAAGCGUCCGCAGGUGGCAGUUCAAGUCUGCUGUCAAAGACCGGGGCUUAACUUCGGAAAGGCAGUGGAAACUGAACAGCUAGAGUAUGGUAGGGGCAGAGGGAAUUCCUGGUGUAGCGGUGAAAUGCGUAGAGAUCAGGAAGAACACCAGUGGCGAAGGCGGCUCACUGGCCCAUUACUGACGCUGAGGCACGAAAGCGUGGGGAGCAAACAGG
rnacentral:rRNA from 1 species